GGAGCUGAAGUCAGUCGAAGAUACCAGCUGGCUGCAACUGUUUAUUAAAAACACAGCACUGUGCAAACACGAAAGUGGACGUAUACGGUGUGACGCCUGCCCGGUGCCGGAAGGUUAAUUGAUGGGGUCAGCGCAAGCGAAGCUCCUGAUCGAAGCCCCGGUAAACGGCGGCCGUAACUAUAACGGUCCUAAGGUAGCGAAAUUCCUUGUCGGGUAAGUUCCGACCUGCACGAAUGGCGUAAUGAUGGCCAGGCUGUCUCCACCCGAGACUCAGUGAAAUUGAACUCGCUGUGAAGAUGCAGUGUACCCGCGGCAAGACGGAAAGACCCCGUGAACCUUUACUAUAGCUUGACACUGAACAUUGAGCCUUGAUGUGUAGGAUAGGUGGGAGGCUUUGAAGUGUGGACGCCAGUCUGCAUGGAGCCGACCUUGAAAUACCACCCUUUAAUGUUUGAUGUUCUAACGUGGACCCGUUACCCGGGUUGCGGACAGUGUCUGGUGGGUAGUUUGACUGGGGCGGUCUCCUCCUAAAGAGUAACGGAGGAGCACGAAGGUUGGCUAAUCCUGGUCGGACAUCAGGAGGUUAGUGCAAUGGCAUAAGCCAGCUUGACUGCGAGCGUGACGGCGCGAGCAGGUGCGAAAGCAGGUCAUAGUGAUCCGGUGGUUCUGAAUGGAAGGGCCAUCGCUCAACGGAUAAAAGGUACUCCGGGGAUAACAGGCUGAUACCGCCCAAGAGUUCAUAUCGACGGCGGUGUUUGGCACCUCGAUGUCGGCUCAUCACAUCCUGGGGCUGAAGUAGGUCCCAAGGGUAUGGCUGUUCGCCAUUUAAAGUGGUACGCGAGCUGGGUUUAGAACGUCGUGAGACAGUUCGGUCCCUAUCUGCCGUGGGCGCUGGAGAACUGAGGGGGGCUGCUCCUAGUACGAGAGGACCGGAGUGGACGCAUCACUGGUGUUCGGGUUGUCAUGCCAAUGGCACUGCCCGGUAGCUAAAUGCGGAAGAGAUAAGUGCUGAAAGCAUCUAAGCACGAAACUUGCCCCGAGAUGAGUUCUCCCUGAGACUUUAGGUCUCCUGAAGGAACGUUGAAGACGACGACGUUGAUAGGCCGGGUGUGUAAGCGCAGCGAUGCGUUGAGCUAACCGGUACUAAUGAACCGUGAGGCUUAACCUU
rnacentral:rRNA from 1 species